GACGAACGCUGGCGGCGUGCUUAACACAUGCAAGUCGAACGAAGUGGCGAACGGGUGAGUAACGCGUAAUCAACCUGCCCUUCAGCGGGGGACAACAGUUGGAACCGACUGCUAAUACCGCAUACUGCAGGGGGGGCUUGCGUCUGAUUCGCUCGUUGGAGGGGUAACGGCCCACCAAGGCGAUGAUCAGUAGCCGGUCGGAGAGGAUGAACGGCCACAUUGGGACUGGGACACGGCCCAGACUCCUACGGGAGGCAGCAGUGGGGAAUCUUCCGAAAUGGACGAAAGUCUGACGGAGCAACGCCGCGUGAGUGAUGACGGCCUUCGGGUUGUAAAGCUCUGUUAAUCGGGACGCGGUACCGGAAUAGAAAGCCACGGCUAACUACGUGCCAGCAGCCGCGGUAAUUC
rnacentral:rRNA from 1 species